UUGGGGUCUGUGUCCUGCAUUUUCUGCCACUUGGCGACAGGCUCGGGUGCGAGCACAGAGGCUGCCCUGCUCUGGGCGGCAGAGGACAGAGGUGCCCGAGGCGAGUGCAGAUGAGGGGAGGAUGGGCAGCCACGGGGUGUUAACUCGGCCGGUCGUGGUGCCCAGCUACUUGGUCCAACGUUCUGGGUGUUUCUGUGAAGGUGACCUUCACAUGUGAUUGACAGCUCCAGUCAGCAGGCUUGGACUGAAGCAGAUCGCCCUCCAUCGCGUGGUGGGCCUCAGCCAGUCAGCUGCAGCCUUGAGAAAAGACUGAGAUCCGCGAGGGCGAAGGAAUUCUACCUCCAGACGCCUUCUGACUGGAGCUGCAACCUCAGCUUCCUGGGGCUCCAGCCAGCAGGACCCACAGUCACGGUGGGAAUUGAGGCAAUUGGUUUGAGGACUUCCUCCUGCUCGAAUGUAAGCACCAGUGCAGCCGCCCAACAGCCGCGUUCAUGCUCACCAGUUCUGGGCAGACCCAGAGGCCGAGGCCGGGUCCUUCGAGGACGUUUUGAAGUUCUGGCCACAACUCAUCUGAGAACAAAGACCCCGGCAUCUGCCUGGCUCUGCCUCCGGGCCUCGGAGAUUUACGGGGAGCGAGCACAGGAGAUGGGCUCUCACGGAGGAGACGGGGCAGGUGGACAGCACGUGUUUGGAGCAGGAGGCACGGAUCCCAGCGGGGCCUGGGGCCCACGUCCACCUCGAUGCAUCCUGCGUGGCUCACCCCACCCCCCCAGCACCUCCUCAGCCUGAGGGAAGAGGAGUGUGGCAGCCGUGGGCCUGGAAGGAAAAAAAAAAGAGACGAGGGCAAAAAUGAAGGUGAUGUGCCGCCCCUCAUCUGUGGAUGCUGAGUGAGUCCAGGAGGGCUUCCUGGUAGAGGUGACCUUCAGGCAGGCCCUUCUCUGCAGACAUCAGACCAGGACUCUGCAACUGUGUGGACAUGAAUCCUGCCAACGCCCUGCCCGGACCCCCUGGGGGGUGGGGCGUCCCGACGAGGACCCGGCCCAAAUCUCCUGAGCUCAGCCUGGGUGGCGGGCAGAGGCCCGGCUGAGUCACUCCGAACGCUGGACGCCAGAAAUGCCUUCCGGCCUCUGGUCAGUGCUGCACGGCCGCGGAAAAGGACUACACACGGGAGCUAUAUUUAGACAAAUGUCUGAAUUCACAAGUUCUUGGUGAGAUACAUACGAGUCUGA